ensembl:lncRNA
AGGAGGGAUCUGAGAGAUGGGGGGGGGGCGACGGAGCAAAGACAGAAACUUUCCUGGGGGACACUGAGCGAUUGUCCCCGGUUGUUGUCCCCCUCCUCCCAGGCUCUGCUCCCAUAACGGGACCUCGCUGCAAUCCCCAACUCUUCAUUGUGAGGAUUUCCAAACGUUCUAGAUUUUUAAUAAACAUAAGCUGCUUUUCUGCUCCGCCUGCCCAGGGAAUAUUACACAAACGAGGACCUUGGGAGGUACGGCUCAUUGCCAUACAAAGAAAUGACCAAGGACCUCAGACAGUCAGUGUGUCUUCCAAAAAUUUCAAUUCUGCCCGACAAAGCGAGGGGAUGGAAAAUCCACGCUUCGCCUACCACACGGCCACAACGAGUGAAAUCAUUCCUCCAGCGCGAUGAGCAGAGUCACCUUGGUGUCCAGGUCCUGCCACUUCAGCUCACAGUGACCUGCCCUUCGUACCAAAUGAUUUCAUCUCCAUGAGAGCGGCUGCAGCCUUUGAGGUCAUUAACUCUGAGCAAUCCCCAGAUUGAAGUCUGUGUUCCCUGAUCAAAGCCCGC